UACGUAGGUGGCAAGCGUUGUCCGGAUUUAUUGGGUUUAAAGGGUGCGUAGGCGGUUUUUUAAGUCAGUCGUUAAAGCCAUCAGCUUAACUGGUGCAAGGCGAUUGAUACUGAGAGACUUGAAUUCUUCGGAGGUAGCCGGAAUGCGUAGUGUAGCGGUGAAAUGCUCAGAUAUUACGCAGAACACCGAUUGCGGAGGCAGGUUGCUACGAAGAGAUUGACGCUGAGGCACGAAAAGUGUGGGGGAGCAAAACAGGAUUAGAUACCCGUGUAGUCC
rnacentral:rRNA from 1 species